rnacentral:rRNA from 1 species
GAAAGAUGAAAAGAACUUUGAAAAGAGAGUUAAACAGUACGUGAAAUUGUUGAAAGGGAAACGAUUGAAGCCAGUCGUACCUUCGGGUAAUCAGCCUUUUGGGUGUGAUUUUGUGGAGCGUGAGGAGUUAAACGCCUUCAUGCCUGCAUAUUCGUGCACUUUGGGUGUACUUGCCCGUAUGGUUGGUUAACGUCAAUUUUGGUGGUCAUAAAAUGACUGGAGGAAUGUAGCUUCGAUCUUGUAUUGAAGUGUUAUA